rnacentral:rRNA from 1 species
UACGAAGGGGGCUAGCGUUGCUCGGAAUCACUGGGCGUAAAGCGCACGUAGGCGGAUCGCUAAGGCAGGGGUGAAAUCCUGGAGCUCAACUCCAGAACUGCCUUUGAUACUGGCAAUCUCGAGUCCGGGAGAGGUGAGUGGAACUGCGAGUGUAGAGGUGAAAUUCGUAGAUAUUCGGAAGAACACCAGUGGCGAAGGCGACUUACUGGACACAUAUUGACGCUGAGGUGCGAAAGCGUGGGGAGCAAACAGG